GGGCCGGAGGGCCGGAGGGCCGGAGGGCCGGAGCGCCGAGCGCCCUCCCGGGCGCGGUGCUUUCUUUUCUGCCGGGCCGUCGAAGAAGGAAGGCGGCUCGGUUACCGUCGGUUUUGCGGGCAGGGCGGCAGCGCCUGCUGGCCUGUCGCCGGGCUCUUUGAGGGGGUGGGGGGAGCCCCUGCGGUGUUAAAUCCUCGUCUUUUUUUCUGCCGGGAACUCGGCUCCGAGCCAGAGCGCGUGGGGCCCGCGCCCGGGGCCUCCAUCCCGGUGCCCUCCGUCCACUGCCGGGCGGAGCAGAGCGGUCGGGGCGGCCUUAACCUCAAGGUCGUGUCAGGAGGCCCCCUUCCUCUCCCCCUCCCCAGUUGACGCAGCCUCGAGCUUUCCUCCGCGCCUUCUGCUCAGUCGCAUUUUUGGAGCAUGGUCGGCGUUUGUUCCCGCAUCUCCCUUUGUAAAUAUGCUCUGGAGACGUGGCAUUGAAGUUGGAGAAGAAUCCGUACAGUAUAGGAGGCCCUGAGGCGGUAAAUGCCCGCUGUACCCUUAGAUGCUUCGGGUCACAGAGAUGUGUAUUUCCGGAUACAAUACAGAAGAAACCGGUCAAGAAAUGGGAGACUGGAAGAACUUUUGCCUCUUCAAAAGCAAAGGUACAACAGAACCUAUGAGUUGAAGAUGAAUGAAGGUCGUUGUGAUAAAUGUUUUCCAAAAACUUGUCACAGAGGAUGGCUGUGAAAAAACCACCAGGAGGACAGCUGUGCACGUAACAAUCAUAUAAGUACCUGCAGAUGAAUGUUCAAGUCCUUAGCAGUGGUGUUUAAAAAUUCUUCAUUGCCUCAAGUAAGUGAUUAAGAUUUGUCAAGCAACCGAAUCUAGAGAUAAUUUGAAAGUACCUGAUGAAUUCCAAAGGGCUGAGGCCAUUUCCUGUUAAAGAGGUGUGGCAUACAACAUUUUGGAAGGGAAAAUGAAGAAUUGGUCAAGACAUGAAUUAAAGCAAAUGACGAAAAUUAAUAUUUUAUUUAACAUUGAUCAUCUCACAGUAAAUUAUGUAGAAAAAUAUAAGUUCAAAUGAUUUUAAUUGCUGGGCAAUAAAGUCUGUUUUCUUUAAAAUAU